rnacentral:sRNA from 1 species
GCCCUGGCUGACAUGGUCAUAGAAGACCCACGAGCCUCAGGGACGCCAGGGAAAGUUUAGGGCCCAAAAUGGAGGCAGGAGAUGGUGCCAUGGAAGGAGCUUGUCACAGCCCGUGGAGGACCAGGGGGUCUCCACCCAGCUACUUGCGCCCUCUGGCAGCGUGUGCUUCUCCUACACUGGCACGCCCUGGAAGUUGUUCCUACGCAAGGAGGUGUUCUACCCACGGGAGAACUUCAGCCAUCCCUACUACCUGCGGCUCCUCUGUGAGCAGAUCCUACGGGACACCUUCUCUGAGUCCUGUAUCCGGAUUUCCCAGAAUGAGCGGCGGAAAAUGAAAGACCUGCUGGGAGGCUUGGAGGUGGACCUGGAUUCUCUCACCACCACUGAAGACAGCGUCAAGAAGCGCAUCGUGGUGGCCGCUCGGGACAACUGGGCCAAUUACUUCUCCCGCUUCUUUCCUGUCUCGGUCAGUGGCGCUGGGGUAGGGAGUAGGGAUGCCAGGCCCCCAGCCUGGAUCCUGGGGUGCAUGGGCACAGACCACAAGCAGGAGAGC